rnacentral:tRNA from 1 species
UGGCUCAGUGGCAGAGCAUGUGCUUAACAUGCACAAAGCCCUGGGUUCCAUCCCCAG